rnacentral:rRNA from 1 species
UACGAGGGGGGCAAGCGUUGUUCGGAAUUAUUGGGCGUAAAGGGUGCGUAGGCGGUGCGGUAAGUCUGUUGUGAAAUCUCCGGGCUCAACUCGGAGUCUGCAUCAGAAACUGCCGUGCUGGAGUGUGGGAGAGGUGAGUGGAAUUCCCGGUGUAGCGGUGAAAUGCGCAGAUAUCGGGAAGAACACCCGUGGCGAAGGCGGCACUCUGGGACGGUACUGACGCUGAGACGCGAAAGCGUGGGGAGCGAACAGG